UACGGGGGGGGCAAGCGUUGUUCGGAAUUACUGGGCGUAAAGGGCUCGUAGGUGGCCAACUAAGUCAGACGUGAAAUCCCUCGGCUUAACCGGGGAACUGCGUCUGAUACUGGAUGGCUUGAGUUUGGGAGAGGGAUGCGGAAUUCCAGGUGUAGCGGUGAAAUGCGUAGAUAUUGGGAAGAACACCAGUGGCGUAGGCGACUAGCUGGGCCGUAACUGACGCUGAGGAACGAAAGCCAGGGGAGCGAAUGGG
rnacentral:rRNA from 1 species